UACAGAGGUCUCAAGCGUUGUUCGGAUUCAUUGGGCGUAAAGGGUGCGUAGGCGGCGCGGUAAGUCGGGUGUGAAAUCUCGGAGCUUAACUCCGAAACUGCAUUCGAUACUGCCGUGCUUGAGGACUGGAGAGGAGACUGGAAUUUACGGUGUAGCGGUGAAAUGCGUAGAUAUCGUAAGGAAGACCAGUGGCGAAGGCGGCGACCUGGACAGUAACUGACGCUGAGACGCGAAAGCGUGGGUAGCAAACAGG
rnacentral:rRNA from 1 species